UACGUCCCUGCCCUUUGUACACACCGCCCGUCGCUACUACCGAUUGAAUGGCUUAGUGAGACCUUUGGAUUGGGGGUUUAGGGAUCGGAAACGAACCUUAUUNUCCGAGAAGUCGGUCAAACUUGGUCAUUUAGAGGAAGUAAAAGUCGUAACAAGGUUUCCGUAGGUGAACCUGCGGAAGGAUCAUUAAAAAAUAUUUAUCCGAGAAUUCGUUUUUUCGUUUUNUCGGAUUAAUUUGUAUUCAAAUCCCACUCUUUAUAAAUAUAUCAAUUAUAUAAAACAAAAUAAAAAAAAAGAAAACUUUCAACAACGGAUCUCUUGGCUCUCGCAUCGAUGAAGAACGCAGUGAAAUGCGAUACGUAGUGUGAAUUGCAGAAUUCCGUGAAUCAUCGAAUCUUUGAACGCAAAUUGUACUUUCCAGUAAUCUGGGAAGUAUGCUUGGUUGAGGGUCAUCGAAAUAACAUUCGUGAUUUUUCGCGGAUUUGAGUUUUCCAGCAUUCAUUAAUAUGUAAAUGUUGGUAACUUUAAAAUUAUUUAUUACUUGGUGUAAGUUGAAAACGUACUAUAUUGUGGUUCGCUGACAACUUGUCCAUCUUUAUAUAUUAUGCGCGCACUUAUUUUAAUUCUGUGCAAGCAUAUAUUUUUUUUUUGACCUCAGCUCAAGCAAGAGUACCCGCUGAACUUAAGCAUAUCAAUAAGCGGAGGAAAAGAAACUAACAAGGGUUCCCCUAGUAACGGCGAGUGAAGAGGGAAGAGCUCAAAUUUUAAAUCUGCCUUGUUUCAAGGUCGAGUUGUAAUUUGAAGGUGCGUUUUCUCGGGCCCGCACCGGUAGAAGUUCUUUGGAACAGGGCAUCAUAGAGGGUGAUAAUCCCGUCUGUGACCGGUCGCGAGUUCGUAUACGAUACGCACUCUAAGAGUCGAGUUGUUUGGGAUUGCAGCUCAAAACGGGUGGUAAACAUCACCUAAGGCUAAAUAUUGGCGAGAGACCGAUAGCGAACAAGUACCGUGAGGGAAAGAUGAAAAGAACUUUGAAAAGAGAGUUAAACAGUACGUGAAAUUGUUGAAAGGGAAACGCUUGAAGUCAGUCGUGCUGGCAUGAAAUCAACCGUUGCGCUAGUAAGUUGUCUGCGGGUGAGCUAAAAACCAUCGCGUUGACAUUUUUGCGUGCGCAGCGGUGCACUUUUGUGUCAGCUGGUUAGCAUCAAUUUCGACCGUCAUAAAAAGGCUGGGGGGAUGUGGCUCCUUCGGGAGUGUUAUAACCCUUAGCGGAAUGUGGUGGACGAGAUUGAGGUUUGCAACGGGUGCCGCUCUGCCUGGCCUCUCUCUGGCGCCCUGGAGGCGACAGCUCGCUGACGUCUUUGGGAGCCGCUGACGAAAAGGUUAGAGUGUGAGUUGACCCGUUAAGGGUGCUGGCGUAAUGGCUUUAAACGACCCGUCUUGAAACACGGACCAAGGAGUCUAACAUAUGUGCGAGUGUUU
rnacentral:rRNA from 1 species